AUUGAACGCUGGCGGCAGGCUUAACACAUGCAAGUCGAGCGGAGAUGAGGUGCUUGCACCUUAUCUUAGCGGCGGACGGGUGAGUAAUGCUUAGGAAUCUGCCUAUUAGUGGGGGACAACAUUCCGAAAGGAAUGCUAAUACCGCAUACGUCCUACGGGAGAAAGCAGGGGAUCUUCGGACCUUGCGCUAAUAGAUGAGCCUAAGUCGGAUUAGCUAGUUGGUGGGGUAAAGGCCUACCAAGGCGACGAUCUGUAGCGGGUCUGAGAGGAUGGUCCGCCACACUGGGGUGAGACACGGCCCAGGCGCCUACGGGAGGCAGCAGUGGGGAAUAUUGGACAAUGGGGGGAACCCUGAUCCAGCCAUGCCGCGUGUGUGAAGAAGGCCUUAUGGUUGUAAAGCACUUUAAGCGAGGAGGAGGCUACUGAGACUAAUACUCUUGGAUAGUGGACGUUACUCGCAGAAUAAGCACCGGCUAACUCUGUGCCAGCAGCCGCCGUAACAC
rnacentral:rRNA from 1 species